GACGAACGCUGGCGGCGUGCCUAAUACAUGCAAGUCGAACGCACAGUUUAUACCGUAGCUUGCUACACCAUAGACUGUGAGUUGCGAACGGGUGAGUAACGCGUAGGUAACCUGCCUGGUAGCGGGGGAUAACUAUUGGAAACGAUAGCUAAUACCGCAUAAUAUUAAUUAUUGCAUGAUAAUUAAUUGAAAGGUGCAAUUGCACCACUGCCAGAUGGACCUGCGUUGUAUUAGCUAGUAGGUGAGGUAACGGCUCACCUAGGCGACGAUACAUAGCCGACCUGAGAGGGUGAUCGGCCACACUGGGACUGAGACACGGCCCAGACUCCUACGGGAGGCAGCAGUAGGGAAUCUUCGGCAAUGGACGAAAGUCUGACCGAGCAACGCCGCGGGAGUGAAGAAGGUUUUCGGAUCGUAAAGCUCUGUUGUAAGAGAAGAACGGGUGUGAGAGUGGAAAGUUCACACUGUGACGGUAUCUUACCAGAAAGGGACGGCUAACUACGUG
rnacentral:rRNA from 1 species